rnacentral:pre_miRNA from 1 species
AGAGGAAUAGCUGGGUCAAAUAGUGGUUCCAUUCCCAAAUUUCCAAGGAAUAUCCAUACUGCUUUCCAAAUGGGCUGCACCAGUUUGUAGUCCCACCAGCAAU